AGGAAAGACUAUCUCUGACGAGAUCACUGUGCCUGAUCGUUUGAAAACAUCAUUCUCGUGGAUAACAGAUUCAGCGACUGAAAUCAAACUGAAAAAGAGCAAACAUCACGAUUUGACAGGAUAUAGUAGCACAUUCUAUCGAAAUAUUUCAAGAUUCUUUCCAAAGUACUUGAUGCUAAAUGGGGAAUUGCAGUCAUUUAAUGGAAGUUACGAUGUAAAAUCUAUCAUAACUGAUUUUACAAUCCAAUCAACAGCUUCUUCAGAUCAUACCUUGAUUAUA